CAGGAGAAGGCGAGAUGCACGCACACAUCCACGUCGGGCUGACUCCACAGAAAACCAGCUCCCAUCAACAUGUCAGGACUGUCCAGAGUUUUUCUGGAAGGUUUUGUUCUGACUGGGGGUUUCUUGACCUGGGGUCCACGGACACAGAAUGCCAUGGUUCGGAGAACACCUGGGGACUUGGAAGGGAAGGAAAACUCCCAAGAAACGAUUCUACAAAGGGGAGUGGGUGUGGAAUAAGGAGGCGCUCUGAAUUUAUCUCGUUUGUCAUCCCCAACCUUCAAGACAAACUCUGCCAACGUCCCCCUCGCGUCCACUGGCACUGCAGGGAGUCAGAGGGUGGGCGUCCGAGGUGUCCUCAAGAGCUGCUGCACGUCAGAAACACGUGGAGCCUCAGGAAUGCUCACGCCCACAUCCAGCCCAGGUUCAAACUCCCUGCGAGGUUCGCAAGCACAGCCCAAGGGACGUGCAGACUGAGAACCACCGGGCUCGACUCAGGCCUGGUGAAGGCGUGGUGGAGAGCAAGGACCUCCUCACGCCAGCAGAAAGGCGGGAGCGGACUCAGCAAAGGAACCAGGGAUGUGCAUCGCGGGGUCGGAGUCUGAGUAACCGAACCUGCAGCCUCCUGGCCUCCAGAAACUUCACAUUUUAUUCUGAGUAAAGAAAGUAGCAUUUCUUGAGACAGAUGUUCAACAAAUUUCUAUCAGAUGAACGACUGUAUACCACGUGGAUUGGUAUUUAGAAUGGACUGUGCACUUGGGGAAACAAUAUCAUGAAGACGGUUCCACAUCUUCCUGAGUUCUGUGAGCUCGUUUAAGGCAAGUGUUUAAAGUCUUGGUCUGGUAGGUCUGCCAUCCGGCCGUUUUCAGGGACAGCUCUGUUGAGUUAGCUUUUCCUUGCAACAGGCCAUAUUUCCUGUUUCUUUGUGUGCCUUGUGAUUUUUAGUUGAAAUCUGGACCCUUGAAGCUAACAAGGUGGUAACUCUGGAAAUCAGAUCCUCCCCUCCAUGGGGUUUGCUGUCUCGUGUCGUGUUUCUGUGGUUUUGAUUGUUGCAGGCCGUGCUGAGGAUGGGCCUGAGGAGUCAGCUCGUCAGCUCGCGGUUUUCUCAGGUGUUUUCUGUGUCGCUGCCUUUCCCUGGGCACACACAGUCACUUCCUAAUUUCCCUGAUGUGCAACGGUUUGAACGUCCUAGUCUUUAGUGUCUGGCUCCCAAAAUGUAAGACAGAGAAAAAAGGUGGGGAGGAGGGUGCCAACCCUUUAAAUCCCCUGGGAUCACCUCAGCCUGAGUGCCUUGCCACAAUGUGUGGGGGGGGGGUGCAACAACAAGGGUUGCCCCCUCUGUGACUGCCCCUCUGUGAUCAGAAGCAGCAAUCACAACACAGAUCCCCGUUAUCUGGAGGACAGGGUCCUUUUUGCUGGCUGUGUCCGUGUCUCCCGCACGCCUGUGCGAGCCGCUGCAGGAACACGCGCACAGUUGCCUCCACGUGGCCGGGGGUAGGGGCCUGGGUAGCGGCUCCUGUGCUAAGAGCUGGAACUGACUGACAUUAAUCUCAAUUGACCGUCCAAGGCUUCCUCUGGGAGUUGCAAGCCUUCAGCAGACUCCAGGGCUCCCACUUAGUUCCCUCAGACAGAUCCUGCCGGCACAGUUGCUCUCCGUGUGGAUGGGGAGCCAGAUUCCCACCCAACUCCGCCUUCCAACUCCGCCUUCUUCCCAGAAUUCUCUCUGUGACUGUUUCUUGAGGGUGGGGGUGUAGAUGAUUCUCACCUUAUUUUGUUUACUUUGUUUAUUUCUGCUUUGUAUGAAUUUUUAAUAAACACAUUACUUUCAUAAUCAGAAAUAAAGAAUUUAUAUUCUGGAAAAGGAAAAGCACGGCCCUAAUUUACCCCUCCUGCUGAGUCUGCCGGUCAUUCCGCGAGUCUGUUCACCUCCACUCUUGAGGAAUAUGAGCCUGUCUACCGGAAGAAAGAUGACCUUUCCAGGACCCUUUGCAGCUAGCCUGGAAUGCAGCGGCCACCACCUUGAGCCGAGGCUGAGACCAUGCCCUGAGUGAGGCCAUGACGUCACCCCUGGGUACCUAACGCAGCAGAGCAUCACACCCUCCUGAGCCUACACCUGGACUUUCCCACGAGGCAGCCACUCACUUCCCUCUCGUGUAAGCCACCGUCGCUUGCUGUUUUCUAGUCAAUCACAGGCAGACCUUACCUGGAUUAAUCUAUCUCUUGUGCCACCAAUAAAAAGUCUUUUCUAUUUUUUUUUUCUGCUUUAUCUCCCCAAAUCCCCCUGGUAGAUAGUUGUAUAUCUUAGUUGCAGGU
ensembl:lncRNA